GAAAUACUAGUUAAAUAAUAACAAUGUCUUGUCAAGCCAUAAUUACUUCCCGAGUGUGUUUCC
rnacentral:tRNA from 1 species